rnacentral:rRNA from 1 species
AUUGAACGCUGGCGGAAUGCUUUACACAUGCAAGUCGAACGGUAGAGGGGGCAACCCCUCGAGAGUGGCGAACGGGUGAGUAAUAUAUCGGAACGUGCCCAGUCGUGGGGGAUAACGUAGCGAAAGUUACGCUAAUACCGCAUACGAUCUAAGGAUGAAAGCGGGGGAUCGCAAGACCUCGCGCGAUUGGAGCGGCCGAUAUCAGAGUAGGUAGUUGGUGGGGUAAAGGCUCACCAAGCCAACGAUCUGUAGCUGGUCUGAGAGGACGACCAGCCACACUGGAACUGAGACACGGUCCAGACUCCUACGGGAGGCAGCAGUGGGGAAUUUUGGACAAUGGACGCAAGUCUGAUUCAGCCAUUCCGCGUGCAGGAUGAAGGCCCUCGGGUUGUAAACUGCUUUUGUACGGAACGAAAAGGUCUCUCUUAAUACGGGGGACUCAUGACGGUACCGUAAGAAUAAGCACCGGCUAACUACGUGCCAGCCGCCGCGGUAAAAC